UUCGCAGUUUAACCAGCACCAAAAACGACGAAUUAUAUCAACUUAGCAAAACAAAAGAUGAACUUGACUCUACAAAAGAAGAAAGGCGUACACAUGAAAAUAUAAUGACCUCACGCAAUUCACUGGGUUCAACCAAUUCUUAAAAAGUCAAAAUUUAUUGAGAAAACUUCGACUGAUGUAAAAUAAAAUUUACGUUCAAUACUACAUACAAUGAAUAUAGAGGAAAAACGCGAAAAAGUACAGAUUUCCAACUUGACCGAACAAUAAAUUCGCGCAAUUGAACAAUGAGAGAUUGGUAUAAAAAAUUUCUUGACGUCACAGUCAAACAGCUCAACUAUUUAAUAUUUUGUUGCCAAGCCAUCAGCCUUAUCAGUAUCACUCAGCAAAUGAUGAUGAACGAUCACAUACAACUUCAGAACCGUAUUUCUGGACGGUUUGAUGAUAAUUGUAAAAGCUUUCCAAAAAUAUUUAAACAUUUAAGUUAGCCCUGUGGUUUUAGAGAGGAAGGUCUUCUUAGCAAAUUGAAAUUGUUAAAACCGCAUGUGAAGCCAAAGUAGUUUGAAGGUGUUUACAAUUUGGAUAAAAUAUUCACUAUUUGAGCAGAGUUAUUAUGUUCGAGUCGCUAGCAAUAACUCAAUAAGGGCAACUUUUGACGAGCAAAAUCAAAAUGACAAAAUGAAGAAAUGACGAGCGCAAUUCAACUCAAUAAUUUCGAGAUGAAGACACAGUACAGUUAUAAAUUAUGGAAUCGGAAGAAUGAAUUGAAUAGAGGGAUUCACAAUUUGGAUGACAUUAUUGAUGUUCCGAUAAACAUAGUGUUUGAUUGCCAUGAAUGGCUGAUGCGCACUCAAGUGUAUGAAGUUUAAACGUUUCAAUUUACCUUAUAAAAGCAACGGAGUAUAACGUUAAGGGACGAGUUCCUGCAACGUUUUUUCAGCAAUGGUCCGGGUCGUUAAUUUUCUUGAAGUUGAAGGUGUGGCGUGGCGAAAGGAGAAUGAAUAGUGCUGUAUGUGCCCAUGGGAAUCAAAUCCGAAUAUUAAUAAGAAACAUAGACUCUUAGAAACGUCAAAAUUUAUCAGGAAAUUGUGACGUGUUCGAAAUGGAAGAUGCACUCGAUAUUUCAAUUAUUAUUUUUGAUGAAUUUUUCAAGUCUUGCUCUUCUCACUAGAAAAAGAAUUUAAACUGAAGUCAUCAAGACCGACUUCAGAAUGAAAAUGAUAACUGACAGAAGACACCGAGAUCAGUAUCUUCAAGACUUAUGUAUUUUUUGGUGCAUAUGUGGUUACUUGUUUAAAAUCUUGCCAAGAAAUCUGAGCGCAGCUGGUUAAAGAGAAACGAGCAGAUUAAUCUUUGCUACGGAUUUCAAUUGUAUGACAAUAAAUAAGUAAAGAGUAGAAUAUUCCGCAUCUAGCCGAAAUAAUGACAUCGAAGAUUGUUUACAAAUAGAUAACCUAGGAAUUAGAGAAUUUUUUGAGCUCUAAAAAUAAUGGAGAUUAUAUACAUCACUAAAAUGGAUAUUGGAUACUUAACUCAAUACAAUGGAAAAUAUUACUUGAAUUCAACUGAAUAUUUAUGAAGAUGUUUUGCAAUCGACAUUGAAAGAAUCCUUGUUUGGCAUGUGGAAUGUUGCAUAUUAACGAUAUGAAAAAGGAUGGA